CCCACCUUGGGGGCUUCCAGUACACCUGUCCAAUCCUUUGAGGGGUUGAUAAAACCCCAGUCUAAACUCCUUCUACUUCCUUUUCCCCUUCCCAUUCUGAAAACAGUGACAGGCUCAGAGUUCCACAGACAAAAGUUAGAAAAGAUGCUACAUUUUGAAAUAUCUUUAUCUGAUAGCUCAUGCAGCAGGGGGUCAGAAUUUCACCAGAUCAGCCAUUUUUUAACCUGUCUGCAACCAUGUACUUGUGUUUGGUCACAGCUAUAAACUGCUUUCUGAGGUCAGAUCAGGCAAAAAUUGUCACUUCUGUCUGUCAAUCUGGCUGAAGACAGGAAAGGCAACUAGUCAUAAAUUCAAGGAGUACAUCCAUGCACAAUAGGCCUGUGCGACUAGAGAAGUAUUCAAUUCAGAUUCAGCUUUAGCUGUGUGGCAGGGGGCACGCUAGGGGCCACAUCCCAUGCUGGCCCACCCACUUGUUUCUAUGGGGCAAUCUGCCCUGUCUUUCCUACCAUAACUUUGCUGUUUCCAUAAAUGGAUGGUACAUGCAGGAGACCGACCACUACAUGCCCCAAUGCCAUAUGUGCUAUAUGUGGCUCCAGCCUCCCCUGCAGUGCAUCCCAUGCCUCGCAGAUUGCAUCCAUAUGUUGUAAUCAUACUCUGCACCACAACUGGUACUCCCAGGUCUCACAGGGACUCUCCUUUUCUCCCUGGAGCAGCAGGUCAUUGUGUUCAGCCUAGCAGUCUUAAUUUCAUCCCACACUUGGCCUCUUUGCAGCUGAGGGCUUACUGGGGUCAGGACUCACCCCAUCUCUCUGGCUGAGCCCCCUACUCAGCCUCUGACCCAAACUAUGGCCUCAGGCAUUCAUAACCAUGCCUUGGCCUCUUCCUCACACAUGGGGUUCCUACUAUGCCCCCUCAAGGGCCUCUAUACCAUGCCCACCAUCGGGUCUUCUCAUCUUCAUGAUCAACUAUUCACAGGGCUACCCCUUGCACUGCCAUUCAGGCUUACUACCAGUUCACACCUACUCAACAUGCCCCUGGGACUGGCCUUCAGGCCUACUCCUGGUCAUCCCUACUCUGUGCAGGGCCACACACUACACUCCUCACACUACCCCCUCUGGCACCUCCAGGAUCUCACAUCCCUGCUGGGCUCAGGUGGAACUCUGGUGGAACGUUGGUGCCAGGUAGGGUUAGGGCAACCCUCCUCAUCUUUCACCAGGGUAGUACCUGCUCUGACUUUUCCCCCUGCCUCCUGGCCUGCGGGGGAUCCCCAGCAGGGCCAGGGGGGGCAGAGAUUGGGGGCCCCCACACCUGUCCUGCAGGUGCCCAUCUUAGGACCCUGGAGGCACAGGUGAGGGAGCUCCGGGAGGAGGUUAGCAGGCUGAGGGGGAUCAGGGAGGCGGAGGAUGAAAUUGACAGUUAUUUCCUUUCCCUACAGGACCAGGCACCCAAGGAAGAAACACCCCGGGAGGUGCCCUCCAUGGCAGAGUGGCAGACGGUCGCAUCCAGGACCAGGGCUGCUCACAGCAUACCAGUACCAGUUCCUCCAGUCUGACUGGAGAAUAGGUAUGAGGCCCUGGCGAAGCUGCAGGAGAUGGAAGGAGAGGAGGAAACCUCUGGGCAGGAAGCAACACCACACUCUCCAUGCUCCGAACAAGUCAAGGGAACCAAGCAGGCCCAGAGGAGAAGGCGUCGAAUGAUCGUCAUAGGCGACUCCAUCCUGAGAGGUACGGAAAGACCCAUUUGUCACCAGCACCCCUCAGCACGAGAGGUCUACUGCCUGCCUGGAGCAAAGAUUUGGGACGUGACGGGAAUGAUCCAGGCCAUGAUUCAGCCCACCGAUUACUACCCCAUGGUCCUAGUCCAUUGAGCGGACGUGGAAGAUGACAUGAGAACUGCAUUAGAGAGACCAGCUGGCGGCUUCGGCAAUGGUGUCUCGAGGCAGGCUUUGGCUUCCUUGACAAUGACCCGCACAUCACAAUGAGGGACAUGCUCAGUUGGGAUGGGCUUCACCUGUCCCCCAAAGGUAAGCGUGUGUUCUCUUCUAGGUUGGUAGAUGUCCUCCAGUGGGCUUUAAAUUAGGCUCGCUGGGGCGGGGAAGAUGAGGGCGGGGGAAGCCAUGGACCGCCAAACCAUGUGGCACCCACAAGGAUAGCCCAGCCUGAAGAAGGAGAACAUUGAGAACCUGCAAUCCAUGGAGCGGCCAGCAGUACACCACAGAUUUGGAGAUUCAGCCGCCAUAUUGAGCCGAAUCUUCUUCAAAUUGAACCAGCAACCAAAGCUUUGCAUGGCUCUAAUGCACAAUAGUUAUUGAAAAAAGGAGCACAGAGAACCUUGUGAGAGAAGACUAGCUGAGAUGUUGAAACUCCAGGAGAUGAACAGGGAGGAGCAGAACUAUGAAGGACCUUAGAAAUGAGUCCAUGAGGCUUGAAUAUAUUGGCAUAUGGGUCGGGAGCAGUGGAGAGAUGUAGUAGACACUUUUUUGCUUCAGGACCACUGCUUCCACCAUUGCGGACCAUUGUAACAGAAAAAACACUCGUUCAUGAAGAGUGGAAAUGUUCAAGAACAGCCCUUCUAAGAAUUGUUCUCACUGCUACUUCUCUUUCUUGCUGUGGAUGGUUGCCUUUAUAGGGCACAGAGAAUGGAAUUGGGAUAAGGAAAGGCUUAAAGUCAGGAAUUAGGCUGUGGAGAUGUUGCUUCCGGGGUUCUUGUGCUCACAGCCUACAGUGAGCAGGUGAGUUUCAGAAAUGUAGCAGGGAGGAGAGUUUCAACUUUGGACCCUGAUGCUCAGCAGAGAUUCAAGAAUUGGGACAGAUUACUGCCAGCAGAAGAAUUUAAGGGGUUUUGGUGUAGAUGGUUGGGCUCGGGCAGAAGUGCAAGCUACAGUUUAGCUCUAAGUAGUAUUGUAGGCAUGGCAUACUCUAACUUUCUAGCCUGACUAGUUGGGAGAACAAAAUUUAAAAACAAGAACUGAGUGCACUAGAAAGACUUAGAAACCCCUCCAUUCUCAGCUGAUGGGCACUAUACACCUGAGGAUAGGAGAGUUGUUAAUGAUGAUGCAACAGAACAUCCUGUUUGGGGUGUUUGAAAAAAACCUUUGUGUUAAAUAGUCUAUUGCAAUGAAAUUCACUCAACAGUAUAUAAAAAAACUACAAAAGGCCUUGUAGAGAGAAGCCAACAAGGAUGAAAUUUAUGCUCUGCCCAGCACUUACCAUGAUUUAAAUCUGAUGCUGAUCCUCAAGUGGAAAAUGUGCAGUGCUAGAGUUUGUUCUGAACCUUUGCAUGGGGAUAACUAUCACCCUUGUCACACAGAGUGUCUAUGUCCCAUAAUCAGUCUUUUCCCUGUUUUUUUCUACAGAAUGAGCAUUGACUUUCUCUUCCAGAAGGUCAUUUGAAUGUCUUGGGAUUGCAGCAUUGUUUAUCCAUGUCUCAAUUACGUUGCAUUUGUGGUUACUUCUGAUCUUUGUCUCUUCUAUUUUGUUAUAUUUUAAAAAUGUAAUAAAGAAAAUCUUUAAAAAAGAAAGAAAACAUGGCAGGGACUUGAAUUGGAAAAUUAAUGCAAACUGGGGACUUGCUAUACUUUGGGACGCCAGAGGGAAAGGAAGAAACAAAAGCUGCAAUGACAAACACCAUUAAUAAAUCAAUGAAAGAGACUCUGAAAACAGGAGUGAUGCUGAAGACAGGACCAGCUUGCAAACCCCUGACUGCUUCUCCAUCCAGCAUGAAGCUAUCACUCAUGCAAGAUCCAGGCCUACACUGAUUCCUUGCAUAAUAAUUCCAAGUGGGUUUGAAGGGCCGAUGUGAUCAGGCAGCUCUUACUAAAUGUGCUGGGAAGCAGAGGUGCAAACCUAAUGUGUGCUAUGCCCAUAGUAGCAGGAAUGAUUCUGACCCAGAGUGAUGUGAUGAACCAGAAGUUUAGGGGGAUUGGACCUGAUAGGAAGUUACAUUUUGUAAUUGGGCCUUCUUUUUAUGGGCCUGUAUUCCUGAGUCAGAAAACAGAACCAAUAUACCUUUGACAUAGAAUUGUGUCUAAUCCUGGAGAUGAACUUGGUGACAUGGGGCUAUCUCUGGCCCUGAAUUAACCACACAGAAAGGAGGAGUUAGGAAACAUAGGGUCUGAUUCUGAUCUCAAAUGAUUCCAGUGCCAAUCAUGGACUAUUGAAGGCACAACAAUGAAAAUGGAGUAAAUGAAAGCAGAUCCAAUGAGCUUGGAAAGGGAAUGAGGUAUUAAUAUAAAUGGCUGCCAGAAAAAAAAAGUCUGCUUCUGUGGUUCAGAUAACUAAAUGCAAGGAGAAGGUUAUUACAAGAUUAGAAAGACUGUAAGCAGUAACAUAGCAGGGAGCCUAGCAAAACAACUGAUGAAAACUCUCAAAUCCCAUCCUGCCUGCCCAUUUGUGUGUAGCCCUUGAGGUGGCUGAACUGGCCUGGGUUAUUCCUGUUGAUUAGAAAGACCACUGUGUCUCAUGCAGGGCUGAACCUGCCAUUGGCACUACACAAAUGAAUACAGAUUGGUAAUAACAGUUGAUGAUAAUUCUGCCCCACAGGGAAUCUGGGUGUACAGCCUGUUUACUUGUUUGCCUCAGUGACUUUGAAAAACAUUUUACUGUAGUGCAGAGUCAAUGGAAAGUGCCUGCAACCUUGCAACAGUUCCAAUACAGAGUUCUGAGGAACAAUACUAACAUAGAGUUUGAUAAAAAUUAAACCCUGAUGUGCAUGAAUGAGCCACUUUCUAGUCCUCGUACACCACAUUCAGACCCAUUUUAAAGUCACUCUGUUUUGAGUUACUGGCACAAUGUGGUCUUAAAAACAUCCCCACUGGCUGCAAAAUGAUUUUCAGGUAUGUGGGUAUUCCUUAGGGAUGUGCAGAGAGCCAAAUAUAUCCUAAGCCAUCCCUAACCCUGUGGUCAGUGUAAGAGAUAUGGCUAUCUUUUUUUGUACUCUCAGAAAUCCCCAAGAGCUACAUAGGGCCAUUAUUUCAGGCAUAAUGGAGAGCAGGGCAUUUACCCUGGUAAGCUCCAGGGCUUACUCCAGGAACUAUUUAAGUAUUUUAUGCAAAAUAGCACAACUUCACCAGCAGAGAUGAGAGUAACUAGAAUAAACGGGUCUCUUACCUCCUGUAUGAAUACCAGGACGUUUUGGUCAAACUAGAUGCUAUUUUGGUUAGAGCACUUGCAUGGGAGAUAUUUUUAGUCCAUUUGGACAGAGAAGAGACUUGAUCCAUGGUCUUCCUACAAUCUGGAUAAGUACCCAGUUUUGAAUGAAAAAAGGAGGUGAAGGGAAUCACCUCAUUUUUAAUGUCUGAUGCCAAAGUCUAAUCCUUAAGUUUCAUUGCUUUGCUUUUGUUAAAAAUGCCCUGAAUGGAAACAAGAUUCAAUGUGCUUGUUUUGUUUUUGGGUAAGAAAAAAUCAAUUUUUUGUUUCAUGUCAAUAUAAAGUUUUUGUUAUUAUUAUUAUUAUUAUUUUUAAUUCA